CAGCCGCCGCGGGAAUACGUAGGUGGCAAGCGCUGUCCGGAAUUAUUGGGCGUAAAGGGCUCGCAGGCGGUUUCUUAAGUCUGAUGUGAAAGCCCCCGGCUCAACCGGGGAGGGUCAUUGGAAACUGGGAAACUUGAGUGCAGAAGAGGAGAGUGGAAUUCCACGUGUAGCGGUGAAAUGCGUAGAGAUGUGGAGGAACACCAGUGGCGAAGGCGACUCUCUGGUCUGUAACUGACGCUGAGGAGCGAAAGCGUGGGGAGCGAACAGGAUUAGAUACCCGGGUAGUCCCUGUCUCUUAUAC
rnacentral:rRNA from 1 species